rnacentral:lncRNA from 1 species
UAAGGAAGAAUGUCAAGCCACUAUCUUUGAGGUUGACAAGGUCAUUGAUGAAGAGAAGAUAGAGGAAGAUGAGAUAACAAAGGUAUUGAAGUCUUUGGGCAUUAUUAGGGAUAAUACUAAAGUUAACCUUAAAGAAGAAUAUCAAGUUAAGUCUUUGAAGGAAGAAUACUGAAGAUAACAAAGGUUCUAAAGGGAUUUUCAUACACUUUCUC